CCUACGGGUGGCAGCAGUGGGGAAUAUUGGGCAAUGGGCGCAAGCCUGACCCAGCGACGCCGCGUGCGGGAGGACGCCCUUCGGGGUGUAAACCGCUGUCAGGAGGGACGAACCCUUCCGGUGGGAAUACUGCCGGGAGCUGACGGUACCUCCAAAGGAAGCGCCGGCUAACUCCGUGCCAGCAGCCGCGGUAAGACGGAGGGCGCGAGCGUUGUUCGGAAUCACUGGGCGUAAAGCGCGCGCAGGCGGGUGUGCAAGUCGGAAGUGAAAUCCCGGGGCUCAACUCCGGGGCUGCUUCCGAAACUGCGGACCUGGAGACCGGUAGAGGUGGGUGGAAUUCCCGGUGUAGCGGUGGAAUGCGUAGAGAUCGGGAAGAACACCUGUGGCGAAGGCGGCCCACUGGGCCGGAUCUGACGCUGAGGCGCGAAAGCGUGGGGAGC
rnacentral:rRNA from 1 species